rnacentral:misc_RNA from 1 species
GAUGAAGAACGUAGCGAAAUGCGAUAAGUAAUGUGAAUUGCAGAAUUCAGUGAAUCAUCGAAUCUUUGAACGCACAUUGCGCCCGCCAGUAUUCUGGCGGGCAAGCCUGUUCGAGCGUCAUUUCAACCAUCAAGCCCCCGGCUUGUGUUGGGGACCUGCGGCUGCCGCAGGCCCUGAAAUGCAGUGGCGGGCUCGCUGUCACUCCGAGCGUAGUAGUUACAUCUCGCUCUGGGCGUGCUGCGGGUUCCGGCCGUUAAAAGCCUUAUUUACCCAAGGUUGACCUCGGAUCAGGUAGGAAGACCCGCUGAACUUAAGCAUAUCAAUAAGCGGAGGA